rnacentral:rRNA from 1 species
GACGAACGCUGGCGGCGUGCUUAACACAUGCAAGUCGAACGGAAAGGCCCUGCUUUUGUGGGGUGCUCGAGUGGCGAACGGGUGAGUAACACGUGAGUAACCUGCCCUUGACUUUGGGAUAACUUCAGGAAACUGGGGCUCAUACCGGAUAGGAGCUCCUGCUGCAUGGUGGGGGUUGGAAAGUUUCGGCGGUGGGGGAUGGACUCGCGGCUUAUCAGCUUGUUGGUGGGGUAGGUGCUUACCAAGGCUUCGACGGGUAGCCGGCCUGGGAGGGUGACCGGGGACAAUGGGACUACGGUACGGCGCAGACGCCUACGGGAGGCAGUAGUCGGGAAUAUUGCACAAUGGGCGGAAGCCUGAUGCAGCAACGCCGCGUGCGGGAUGACGGCCUUCGGGUUGUAAACCGCUUUCGCCUGUGACGAAGCGUGAGUGACGGUAAUGGGUAAAGAAGCACCGGCUAACUACGUG